GCGAAGGUGGCGGAAUUGGGUAGACGCGCUAGCUUCAGGUGUUAGUGUUCUUACGGACGUGGGGGUUCAAGUCCCCCCCCCUCGCACCA
rnacentral:tRNA from 1 species